rnacentral:lncRNA from 10 species
CAGCAAUGGCAAUCCCACCCAGUCAUAACCAAGCUUUGUCGUUCCAUUGACUAACAUGGGACCUGACACAUAGUAAGUGCACAAGAAUAUUUGAUGGAUCAAUGCAAGGAGGCGAUAUAUUCUAUUAUACUGCCCUUAAACAUUUGAAACUUUCGAGGAAUAGAUUUUCUUGCUUCAUCCCAGUCCUCCCUCAGCUGGCUCAUCUUUCACAUAUUGAUUCUAAACUGCACGUCACUAGCAUCCUGAGGGCAUUCACCGAAUGCUCAUGUAAAAGGCAGAGAGAUAUGGGACAGAACACUGAAGACAAUCUAUAACCUGGCUCCCAAGGAACUGAGACCAAUGAGAAGAUAAACACAGCUGAAGUCGCAAAAUGUGAAUCCAAUGAGGACUAUAACUAAUGAGAGCUAAAACCAGAGUGUGUUUGCUACUAAGAAAAUAAUAAUGGAAAAGACCAAUUAAUAAAGAGAUGUUGUCAAACGCC